GUGGGGAAUCUUGCGCAAUGGGCGAAAGCCUGACGGAGCAAUGCCGCGUGAAGGAUGAAGGCCUAUGGGUUGUAAACUUCUUUUCUCAGAAAAGAAUUAUGACGGUAUCUGAGGAAUAAGCAUCGGCUAACUCUGUGCCAGCAGCCGCGGUAAGACAGAGGAUGCAAGCGUUAUCCGGAAUGAUUGGGCGUAAAGCGUCUGUAGGUUGUUUAAAAAGUAUUCUGUCAAAGAUUAGGGCUUAACCCUAGAUAGGCAGAAUAAACUUUUAAGCUAGAGUUUGGUAGAGGCAGAGGGAAUUCCCGGUGGAGCGGUGAAAUGCGUAGAUAUCGGGAGGAACACCAAAGGCGAAGGCACUCUGCUGGGCCAAUACUAACACUGAGAGACGAAAGCGAGGGGAGCAAAUGGGAUUAGAAACCCUUGUAGUCC
rnacentral:rRNA from 1 species